UACGGAGGGUGCAAGCGUUAAUCGGAAUUACUGGGCGUAAAGCGUGCGCAGGCGGUUUUGUAAGUCUGAUGUGAAAUCCCCGGGCUCAACCUGGGAAUUGCAUUGGAGACUGCAAGGCUAGAGUGUGUCAGAGGGGGGUAGAAUUCCACGUGUAGCAGUGAAAUGCGUAGAGAUGUGGAGGAAUACCGAUGGCGAAGGCAGCCUCCUGGGCCAACACUGACGCUCAUGCACGAAAGCGUGGGGAGCAAACAGG
rnacentral:rRNA from 1 species